AGCGAACGCUGGCGGCAGGCUUAACACAUGCAAGUCGAGCGGGCCCUUCGGGGUCAGCGGCAGACGGGUGAGUAACGCGUGGGAACGUGCCCUUCGGUUCGGAAUAACUCAGGGACACUUGAGCUAAUACCGGAUACGCCCUUAUGGGGAAUGGUUUACUGCCGAAGGAUCGGCCCGCGUCUGAUUAGCUAGUUGGUGAGGUUAUGGCUCACCAAGGCGACGAUCAGUAGCUGGUCUGAGAGGAUGAUCAGCCACACUGGGACUGAGACACGGCCCAGACUCCUACGGUAGGCAGCAGUGGGGAAUAUUGGACAAUGGGGGCAACCCUGAUCCAGCCAUGCCGCGUGAGUGAUGACGGCCUUAGGGUUGUAAAGCUCUUUUCUCCGGGACGAUAAUGACGGUACCGGAGGAAUAAGCCCCGGCUAACUUCGUG
rnacentral:rRNA from 1 species